CCUACGGGAGGCAGCAGUGGGGAAUAUUGGACAAUGGGCGAAAGCCUGAUCCAGCCAUGCCGCGUGUGUGAAGAAGGCCUUCGGGUUGUAAAGCACUUUCAGUGGGGAAGAAAGCCUUGGGGCUAAUACCCUCGAGGAAGGACAUCACCCACAGAAGAAGCACCGGUUAACUCCGUGCCAGCAGCCGCGGUAAUACGGAGGGUGCGAGCGUUAAUCGGAAUUACUGGGCGUAAAGCGCGCGUAGGCGGUCUGAUAAGCCGGUUGUGAAAGCCCCGGGCUCAACCUGGGAACGGCAUCCGGAACUGUCAGGCUAGAGUGCAGGAGAGGAAGGUAGAAUUCCCGGUGUAGCGGUGAAAUGCGUAGAGAUCGGGAGGAAUACCAGUGGCGAAGGCGGCCUUCUGGACUGACACUGACGCUGAGGUGCGAAAGCGUGGGUAGCAAACAGGAUUAGAUACCCCUGUAGUC
rnacentral:rRNA from 1 species